CAACAAAUCAGCUCAGUUGGUCAGAGCAUGGUGCUAAUAACGCCAAGGUUAUGGGUUUGAUCCCUCUGUGGG